CCUACGGGAGGCAGCAGUGGGGAAUAUUGGGCAAUGGAGGCAACUCUGACCCAGCAACGCCGCGUGAAUGAUGAAGGUCUUCGGAUUGUAAAGUUCUUUUCUAAGGGAAGAAGAAAGUGACGGUACCCCAAUAGCAAGCCACGGCUAACUACGUGCCAGCAGCCGCGGUAAUACGUAGGUGGCAAGCGUUAUCCGGAAUGACUGGGCGUAAAGGGUGCGUAGGUGGUUUAGUAAGUUGGCGGUGUAAUUCCGGGGCUCAACCUCGGCGCUACCGCCGAAACUUUUAGACUAGAGUGCAGGAAGGGUAAGUGGAAUUCCUAGUGUAGCGGUGGAAUGCGUAGAUAUUAGGAGGAACAUCAGGGGCGAAGGCGACUUACUGGACUGUAACUGACGCUGAGGCACGAAAGCGUGGGGAGCAAACAGGAUUAGAUACCCUAGUAGUC
rnacentral:rRNA from 1 species